rnacentral:rRNA from 1 species
UGGGGAAUAUUGCACAAUGGGCGCAAGCCUGAUGCAGCCAUGCCGCGUGUGUGAAGAAGGCCUUCGGGUUGUAAAGCACUUUCAGCGAGGAGGAAGGUGGUGAGCUUAAUACGCUCAUCAAUUGACGUUACUCGCAGAAGAAGCACCGGCUAACUCCGUGCCAGCAGCCGCGGUAAUACGGAGGGUGCAAGCGUUAAUCGGAAUUACUGGGCGUAAAGCGCACGCAGGCGGUUUGUUAAGUCAGAUGUGAAAUCCCCGGGCUCAACCUGGGAACUGCAUUUGAAACUGGCAAGCUAGAGUCUCGUAGAGGGGGGCUAGAAUUUCCAGGUGUAGCGGUGAAAUGCGUAGAGAUCUGGAGGAAUACCGGUGGCGAAGGCGGCCCCCCUGGANGAAGACUGACGCUCAGGUGCGAAAGCGUGGGGCAGCAAAACAGGAUUAGAUACCCUGGUAGUCCAGCGCUGU